rnacentral:RNase_P_RNA from 2 species
CAGGCUAGUCGGAUGAUCGCGGUGGCCUUGAGCCAUCGAGGAAAGUCCGCACUCCAUAGAGCAAAGCGCCGGGUAACACCCGGGACGGGGCAACCUGACGGAUCGGGCCACAGAAACAGACCGCCCCCUCCCAGCUUCCCCCAAAUCCGAUGGAUUUAGGGGAGGGGUCGGAAAGGGUAAGGGUGAAAAGGUGGUGUAAGAGACCACCGGCGUGGGCGGUAACGCUCGCGGCCAGGUAACCCCCGCCUGGAGCAAGGUCAAGCAGAGGCAAUCCCAUCGGGAGGUGGCGGCUCGUCACCUGGAUCGCGAGGUCCGCAGCCUCGGGUAGACUGCAUGAGGUGUGAGGCAACUCACGCCCUAGAGAGAUGGUCAUCGGUGCAGGGCGACCUGCAUGCACAGAAUGCGGCUUACAGGCUGGCCUGGGGA